AACGAACGCUGGCGGCAGGCCUAAAACAUGCAAGUCGAACGCCCUAGCAAUAGGGAGUGGCGCACGGGUGAGUAACGCGUGGGAACGUGCCCUUCAGUACGGAACAACGUCGGGAAACUGACGCUAAUACCGUAUAAUAUCUCCGGAUCAAAGAUUUAUCGCUGAAGGAUCGGCCCGUGUCUGAUUAGCUAGUUGGUGAGGUAAUGGCUCACCAAGGCUACGAUCAGUAGCUGGUCUGAGAGGAUGAUCAGCCACACUGGGACUGAGACACGGCCCAGACUCCUACGGGAGGCAGCAGUUAGGAAUAUUGGACAAUGGGCGAAAGCCUGAUCCAGCCAUGCCGCGUGUGUGAUGAAGGCCUUAGGGUUGUAAAGCACUUUCGUUGGGGAUGAUAAUGACCGUACCCAAAGAAGAAGCCACGGCUAAAUUCGUGCCAGCCGCCGCCGGUAA
rnacentral:rRNA from 1 species